UACGGAGGGUGCGAGCGUUGUCCGGAAUCACUGGGCGUAAAGGGCGCGUAGGCGGCCUGGUAAGGCUGUGGUGAAAGCCCGGGGCUCAACCCCGGGUCUGCCGUGGCGACUGCUGGGCUGGAGCACUGUAGAGGCGGGUAGAAUUCCGGGUGUAGCGGUGGAAUGCGUAGAGAUCCGGAAGAAUACCGGUGGCGAAGGCGGCUCUCUGGACGGUGACUGACGCUGAGACGCGAAAGCGUGGGGAGCAAACAGG
rnacentral:rRNA from 1 species